rnacentral:rRNA from 1 species
ACUGGGCGUAAAGGGUGCGUAGGUGNUUUCGUAUGUCGGAUGUGAAAGCCCGGGGGCUCAACCCCGGAACUGCAUUCGAAACUGCGGGACUAGAGUACAGGAUGGGAGACCGGAAUUCUUGGUGUACCGGUGAAAUGCGUUGAGAUCAAGAAGAACACCGGCGGCGAAGGCGGCUCUCUGGAAUGUUACUGACACUCAUGCACGAAAGCUGGGGUAGCAAACAGGAUUAGAUACCCUGGUAGUCCCAGCUGUAAACUGUGUGCACUUGGUGUUGGCGGUAUUGACCCCGCCAGUGCCGGAGUUAACGCGUUAAGUGCACCGCCUGAGGAGUACGAUCGCAAGGUUAAAACUCAAAGAAAUUGACGGGGGCCCGCACAAGCGGAGGAGCAUGUGGCUUAAUUCGAUGCAACGCGAAGAACCUUACCUGGGUUUGACAUCGGAGAGGCUUGCCUCUAGCGCGUGAAAGCGCGUUAACCAGACAGGUGCUGCAUGGCUGUCGUCAGUUCGUGCCGUGAGGUGUUGGGUUAAGUCCCGCAACGAACGCAACCCUUAUGUUUAGUUGCCACCCCCGAGCAAUCGGGGCGCACUCUAGACAGACUGCCCGUACAAGCGGGAGGAAGGUGGGGAUGACGUCAAGUCCGUAUGGCCCUUACACCCAGGGCUGCACACGUGCUACAAUGGUCGGAACAGAGGGAUGCUACACCGCGAGGUUACGCAAAUCCCUAAAAGCCGGUCCCAGUUCGGAUUGCAGUCUGUAACUCGACUGCAUGAAGUUGGAUUCGCUAGUAACGGCGUAUCAGCUACGACGCCGUGAAUACGUUCCCGGGCCUUGUACACACCGCCCGUCACAUCAUGAAAGCCGUCUGCACCCGAAGUCACUGAACCAACCAGCAAUGGAGGGAGGUGCCGAAGGUGUGGGUGGUGAUUGGGAUGAAGUCGU